CUGACAUCUACCGAAGAGUUAGCUUUGCUUAAGACUGCAUGAUUUGUAUUCAUUUCGAUUGAUUUGCUAUAUAUUUGAUAAAUAUAAACUGAUAUUUAUUAUCGGAAAGAGCACAAAAACUUAGGGGAAAUCUUGUGCUCAAUGGGAAUUGAGUCAGGCGAUUGGGAUAGCCAUUCAAGGACCUCAGACCCCUCGAUGGACAACCAGAAUUUCGUUACUUUUGUCGUGUGCUUCGAAACACGAUAUUAUUCUAUUCUAUUUAUUUCCUUUUCCUAUAUUCGACAUAAUUUCCAUGUUUUUAAUCCUCCUCAUAACUGCAAAGGAACGAGAAAUCAAAGUAAGUAUCUACUAAUUAAUACAAUUCACUAUUUAGAAAGUUCGAUAGGGAAACUUCGAAAUAUGCAUAAGUAAGAACUGUUGCUUGCAAUCAUUAGACAUAGCAACGGCAAUGUGCGCAUUCUAAAUUUAUCUAAAAAGAAGAUAAAUGCGCAUUUCCUAGAAGCUAGAAGUAUGUAAACGAACUGGCGAGUCAGUCACUGUACGUAGAGAGAACUGUGUUUCUCUUGAUUCUGAGCCCUGUUACGAGGGCCACUUCAUCCGCCGAGAGCCCUCGUGUUCGUGCAACGAAUCACAUUGCCGGAGACGGAAAGGAUUAAGGAUUCUAAUUGAUGACACACUUUGCCUCUCGACGGCUCGUUCGUAUGUGCCACGCGUUUCCUUUCUCCUAGGAAGCUCGCCAAUCGUUGAUCGUAUUACCAACAUUAUAUUGGGCGCUUUUGGUAUUAAAACGAAUCGAGCGAAACUGCAGAUUUAGGAAAAACAACAGUACGAUAAAAAGGUUCCAUUUUAAAUGUAUAAAAUGUACUCUUAGUGUUACGUCGGGCGACACUCUACUGGUCUAGACCAGGUCACACACCACGGCCACUCAAUAGUCUUAAGGACCCAUUGUAAAUCUCAGGAAUUUGCUAGCUAAGGUCCUUCAGACCGAACAAAUAUCGAUUUUCCUAAAUCGCUUUCUAAAUAUUAUUGUCUACUACGGCUUGACACGGGAAAAUUAGCUUUUCUCAUGCAUGAUACUUCACACUAGCAACUUUCUAUCGAGGGCGGCUAAGACCCUUUCUAGUUCACGAACCUUCGUUUAUCCCAUUAGAAGCACUGUAUACUGCCCUCAUUUUUCUGACCAAAAAUGUCAUGAACAAAUCCGAUAGUUCCGUGCACUAGACACACCCAUCGCUAGCUUUCCUCCGACAUAGCAUCGGUAAAUUACUUAUUCUUCAACGUUAGAAUAAUCAACAUGUCAGUACCGGGUUAGUUUUUUCCCUUAUUGCUACGUCAACUAUAACAAAAACUCUAAGAGCCUUGCUCGAUUACCAAUGAAUAUUGUGCCAGUGUAUCGCAUCUCUAUACGCCAAAUCAUUGUCUACGACGUAUAUCAUAAGCAACGGUGUAACUUAAGUGUUAAAAAUAUAUAGUUUAUAACCCUGUUAA